CCCCCUGAUCCAGCUCUGCCGUGGAGCAUCUGGCUUACUCUAGCCCGUAGAGGCGGUCGGAGGAAGCUGCACGGGCGUUAAUCAGUUCCGGCCACUAUAAUUUUGACUUGGCAGAUAGAUAGAUGCCUGCCUGGUGUGCUUGGCAGCACAAGUAAAAGCAGAGUGUACGGAUUUGGACCAAAGGGAGAGUCUAAUUAACAUCAAGCAGGGUGUUGAAAUUAAUAUAGUGGGGAACAUGGAGAACCAGUUGGGCUGAUCCAUAUGGCAUAGGCCUCAAUAAGAUCUUAUCAGGCCAGACCAGUAUAUUGGAGGGACCAUAAGAAUUUCUGAGGAACUGCUGAAAGAAAGGAUAGCAGGAAGAGAUUAGCAGCUGGUUUUUUCUCCAAGCAACUUAGGUUGGGAUUAUUUGAUCAGAGCAGAAGAUGAAGAUGAAGCAUGAAAAGUUAGUGUGUGCAAUGGCUGUGGUGUGGAUUAUAGCAAUUUGGUGUGCAGAGGGAGGAGAGGCUAUGAGGAUGAUGAGUAACUCAUGGAGUAAUGCUCAUGUGAAUGUGAGGGCUCAUGGCUAUUCUAAUUCUAAUUCAGAAUGGAGAGGCAGAUUUGGUGCAGACAAGAGGAGAGUACCCACAGGAUCCAAUCCUUUGCACAACAGGUCAUAUAUGCACAAAGUACAUAUCGACUCAGAAAGACACUGACAGAUCAUGGAGCUUUCAUGGCACAGGAGUCUCAGUGCUGAUGAUGAAAAGAAAGCCCAAGGUAUUUGCAAUUUGAGAUGUAUAAACAUACAGAAAUUCUAUUGUAUUACGAGACUGAGAUCAAUGGCUGCCUUAUACAACGGCUGUAAUGAUCUUUAAAUAUAUCAGUUUAAAGACCAUGUUUCUUUUGCCCAGUGAAAAAAAGUAAUUCUUCAAGGCAAGGGCUUGUAACUUGUGAGUGCUUGCUUAGAUUAUUAGUCUGUAUUGAAGCAGCCUCUAUUAUUGUUCAUAAAACAUACGCAGAAGGUUAAUACAGUGACCCAUUAAUGGAUGCUUAAAGAAUCUUAAAUUCUUUUCUUCUGGAUCA